rnacentral:rRNA from 1 species
UAACCACAGCAAUUGACGUUACCCGCAGAAGAAGCACCGGCUAACUCCGUGCCAGCAGCCGCGGUAAUACGGAGGGUGCAAGCGUUAAUCGGAAUUACUGGGCGUAAAGCGCACGCAGGCGGUCUGUCAAGUCGGAUGUGAAAUCCCCGGGCUCAACCUCG